GAGUCAGGACUGCCCUCAAGUGGGGUCCCAGCUGUGCCUCCCUUGUGACACUCCAUCUCUGUCCUUUGCAGCAGGGGGACCCAACCCUGAUAUCAACACCAACCUGGCCAACCUCACUGAGCAGUGCCGGAGCAUGGUCUUGACCAAAGCAUCCACUGAGGUGGCCAUCAAGGGAAGGGCUGGGUGUUGGAGUGCGUCGGACCCAGGACCUACUGCCCCCAGACCUGGUGAUGGCCCGAAGGGAGGAACGCUGGAUCGUGCUGUAGCUGGACUUGGAGCCAACGGCAGGGGUACGGCCAGGAACCCUGGAUGCGACAGGCUCUGUCCCAGUCUCUCACACAGAUAUAUCCCUCAGCCAGCCCAGCUCAGGGAGCAGUGGGAACAGGUCAUCUCAUCCUGUCAAACCAAGCAACAUGGGUCCCAUUGAGGCUCAGAUGGAAGAUCCCAUGCACCUCCUGGAGAGGAUGUGUCCAGGAUCCUGGAGACUGUUUCCUGCUGCUGGAGGUUUGAGCAGGGAGAGAUCACUCACUGUCACGACCCAGGGGCCUUCAACCCGGGUCUGCAGGGUUCAUGGGAGCAGCCACACUCCAACCCUCCACCCAGAAGCCUGCUGAAAAUUGCUUACCUAGGACCCAUGAAGUUCAGCCCCAGUUUGAGGCUCCACUCCUGAGGUCCUAUUGGGGAGUCCCAGAAAAGCUAAUUGGCCCCCUGGCCCUGCUUAAGACAGCAGCGGGAACAGGAAGCUGACUGAACACCAGGGCUGCUCCCUGUUCUGGACCGUGUGGUGCCUGUUUCUGCUGCCGCUCCCCUGGCUUGGUUUCCUGGCAUCUGAUUUGUGGUUCUGAUCGCAAGUUUGUCUUUUGCUGCUGAUCUUCCAGUACCCUGACCCAGCUGACUCUCGACUCCUGUCAUGGGAGUUUGGACCCUGGCUCUGACCAGUAGACCUGGCUGCCCUUGACCCAGCCUGACCUUGACUUUUGUACAAUUUCUCCAAUGCCCUUUUCUGCUCUCCAGCAAGAUACACCAGUCCCUUGGCUCCCAAAGUCCUAGUUGCCCGCUAUUCAAGGGCUGAGGGGUAGUGCUUGUAUUACCCCCACCCCCACCUCAGCUACUUUUCCGAUGGGAAUUUCCCUAGAGCAGAGGAGAAAUCUGCCCUUCUCCUAGGAUCAGUCCCAGCAGUAAUUCCACCCACGCUGGCCUCAGCUCAGCUACUUUGUUCACCUGGGGUCAGGGACCACUUUUGAAGCCCUUAGCGUGUGGGUGGAGGUGGGAGCAGAGGCUGAAGCUCGAGCAGUUUCCACCAAAGAGCACCACCCUCUCUUUCUGUGGUCUGGCUAGGGCUCACCAUCCAUCUUGGAGCUGAACACCAGAUGGGAGCUGAUAGAUUGUCCUUGGCGGGCAGUGUUCUGUGUGUGACGGAGCUGUGUGCCAGAGAGGGCCAGGAGCAGAUGCACCACGCCUGGCCAGGACCGGGCUAAACAGCCUGUAAUGCUAGACAGUCAGCCAGUGAGGCCAGUUUGCAGAAUGCGGAAGAGCCCUUUGGCGAUGGUUUGGGGGAUUCACCAUGGAGGUGUCAGCAGCUGCAGUGCCUGGGGUCCCCAUGGGCCAAGCCUCCACUCCUGACACUCCAGGCUAAUCUCCCACUGCUCUCAGUGGGGCUUGGCUUUAGCUGCUGGGCCUGCGUGCCUAGACAGAGGACUCAGGUAUUUCCAUCAGGCUGCUCAAUGGCACUCACUCUCCUCCUGGUAAUAGCUCACCUUAAGUGAUCACUUUCCUUACAGUGUGUACGGUAACACCCAUU